UAGCUAAUACCGCAUGACAAUUAAGUACUCAUGUACUAAAUUUAAAAGGAGCAAUUGCUUCACUAUGAGAUGGACCUGCGUUGUAUUAGCUAGUUGGUGAGGUAACGGCUCACCAAGGCCACGAUACAUAGCCGACCUGAGAGGGUGAUCGGCCACACUGGGACUGAGACACGGCCCAGACUCCUACGGGAGGCAGCAGUAGGGAAUCUUCGGCAAUGGGGGCAACCCUGACCGAGCAACGCCGCGUGAGUGAAGAAGGUUUUCGGAUCGUAAAGCUCUGUUGUUAGAGAAGAACGGUAAUGGGAGUGGAAAAUCCAUUACGUGACGGUAACUAACCAGAAAGGGACGGCUAACUACGUGCCAGCAGCCCGCGGUAAUACGUAGGUCUCGAGCGUUGUCCGGAUUUAUUGGGCGUAAAGCGAGCGCAGGCGGUUAUUUAAGUCUGAAGUUAAAGGCCGUGGCUCAACCAUGGUUCGCUUUGGAAACUGGAUAACUUGAGUGCAGAAGGGGAGAGUGGAAUUCCAUGUGUAGCGGUGAAAUGCGUAGAUAUAUGGAGGAACACCGGUGGCGAAAGCGGCUCUCUGGUCUGUAACUGACGCUGAGGCUCGAAAGCGUGGGGAGCAAACAGGAUUAGAUACCCUGGUAGUCCACGCCGUAAACGAUGAGUGCUAGGUGUUAGGCCCUUUCCGGGGCUUAGUGCCGCAGCUAACGCAUUAAGCACUCCGCCUGGGGAGUA
rnacentral:rRNA from 1 species